rnacentral:lncRNA from 1 species
GUAUCUUCGCAGCUCCUUCGCAUUUGUUUCCCGGGUUCGUGUUUCCCGGGCGGAGCCGCCCCCCCGGCACUGAGAAGAAGGGGGCUCAGCGCACCGCGGCGGCGCCUCAGCGGGUUUCGUUUUUGCACUGAAUGUAGCCAGGACGGAUCCUUGUGGGCUUUGGCAGCCCUUGGAAACUGUCAAAGGCAGUAUUUUGCAUUUCUGCAGAGCUUUGCACAGAUCCUGUUCCCAUGCAAACUGAUGAGGGAGAAAUACUGGAGGAAGGCAGUCCCAAGGUCAGUGAGGUAAAUGCCACUGUGUUUUGGAGGAACAAGAGCUUGCUUGGCUAAAAUGGGGGAUACAUAGAACAAAUAUUGACUGCUGGUGGUAUUUUUAAUAAAUA